rnacentral:lncRNA from 1 species
UGAACCCUCUAGUUUCAGAAAGGAUAUUUGUGAAAAGUUUAAAUCGAACACGAUUUGUUUACUCACAGAUAUGUUGAGCAUGAAAACUACAAAAGAGAGGUAAUUCCUUAGUUAUCAACGAUUUUCUUCUUCUUUUUCCAUUAAAAUUUGUCUUCUAUGUGAUUUUUUUAAUGGUGUAUAUAUUGUAUUUUUGUGAUUUAUAUGUGAAAGAGUGGUGAGGGUUUGUCAAUUUUAAAUUCCAAAACUCAUUUAGAUAUCAUUUUUUAUUUUGGGAGGUGGAGAAAGCAUUCUUCAUUUUGUUCUUGUGGUCAUUUCGGGUUGUUUUGUAUUCUUUUAGCAAUUACAUACUUUUCAGUUCUUGCUGAUAAAAUUUUCAACUUUUGUGUCAAAGAUUUCUUGCCCAAUUGCGAUUUUGAGUAUUUGGAGUUUUUUCUAAGCUUUGGGGAAGUGCGUUGAUUUCACUACUCUUUUGGGGGUUUCCUAAUCAGGUAAAUAUGUUCAUCCUUUCCUUAAUAUCAUUUAAAACUAAAGGAGAAGAAGAAAGUGUUGGUAGUAACAGUGUGGAGUUUUAAAUUUUGCUCUAGCUUUAAUUAAUCAUUCUUAUAAUGUGGAUGACAUAACUAAUGGCUUGAUUUGUGUUGCUAGCUAUUAAAGUACUAGCAAAAUUAUUCUCUCAUUGUUUUAUGUCCAGGUCUGCUUAUUUAUUUACCAAAUGCAUAUCUAUCAGAAAGGAAUUUGUAGCCACAAAAGUGAUUUGUCACCAC